rnacentral:rRNA from 1 species
GAUUUCUGGCGAACCGUUGCGGCCCGUGCUCGUUUCGCUUACGCUGUGAAUACAUUAGCAUGGAAUAAUAAUUUAGGACUUCGGUUCUAUUUUGUUGGUUUCUAGGACUGAAGUAAUAUGAUUGAUAGGGACAGUUGGGGGUGCUAGUAUUCCGCGGCCAGAGGUGAAAUUCUUGGAUUCGCGGAAGACUAACUACUGCGAAAGCAUUCACCAAGGAUGUCUUCUUCUGUCUCUUAUACACAUCUCCGAGCC